rnacentral:rRNA from 1 species
GUGGGGAAUAUUGCGCAAUGGGGGAAACCCUGACGCAGCGACGCCGUGUGAGGGAAGAAGGCUUUCGGGUCGUAAACCUCUGUCAGAAAGGAAGAACCUCCCAAGUCCGAAUAGGGCUUGGGACUGACGGUACUUUCAAAGGAAGCACCGGCUAACUCCGUGCCAGCAGCCGCGGUAAUACGGAGGGUGCAAGCGUUAAUCGGAAUCACUGGGCGUAAAGCGCGCGUAGGCCGCUUUGUAAGUCGGACGUGAAAGCCCUCGGCUCAACCGGGGAACUGCGUUCGAUACUGCGAGGCUUGAGUCCUGGAGAGGGUGGCGGAAUUACGGGUGUAGGAGUGAAAUCCGUAGAUAUCCGGAGGAACACCGGUGGCGAAGGCGGCCACCUGGACAGGUACUGACGCUGAGGCGCGAAAGCGUGGGGAGCAAACAGGAUUAGAAACCCGGGUAGUCC